UACGGGGGGGGCAAGCGUUGUUCGGAAUUACUGGGCGUAAAGGGCUCGUAGGCGGCCAACUAAGUCAUACGUGAAAUCCCUCGGCUUAACCGGGGAACUGCGUCUGAUACUGGAUGGCUUGAGUUCGGGAGAGGGAUGCGGAAUUCCAGGUGUAGCGGUGAAAUGCGUAGAUAUCAGGAAGAACACCCGUGGCGAAGGCGGCUUCUGGGACGGUACUGACGCUGAGACGCGAAAGCGUGGGGAGCGAACAGG
rnacentral:rRNA from 1 species